rnacentral:rRNA from 1 species
UACGUACGAGGCAAGCGUUAUCCGGAAUUACUGGGCGUAAAGGGCGCGUAGGCGGACAUCUAAGUCAGGGGUGAAAUCCCAGGGCUCAACCCUGGAAUUGCCUUUGAUACUGGACGUCUCGAGUUCGGGAGAGGUGAGUGGAAUUCCGAGUGUAGAGGUGAAAUUCGUAGAUAUUCGGAGGAACACCAGAAGCGAAGGCGGCUCACUGGCCCGAUACUGACGCUGAGGCGCGAAAGCGUGGGGAGCAAACAGG